rnacentral:tRNA from 1 species
GCAUUGGUGGUUCAGUGGUAUACUUCUUGCCUUCUAUGCAGGAGAUCCAGGUUUGAUUCCUGGACAAAGUA